CACGCACACACACACUCACAUGCACACACACAUGCACACUCACACACACACACACUUUUAGAAAUCGGGAAUGUUUUCCCACUCUUGGACUUGAGCCUGAGAUCUGUGGACUCAGUGGUCUCCUUUAAAGAGCAGCUGAAGACUCGUCUGUUCAGGCUUUGGUGUGACCUUCGUGCGACCUCGUGCUGAGUCUUCCUCACUAGCUUCGCUUCACGCUGCCGUUUCUACUGAUGAAUCCCGCGGUUUCUUCCUCCACAUUUUCAUUUCCCAAUUUUUUAAAUCAUUUUUUAUUUUUGUCCUUGUGAAGCACCUUGUGACUGGGGUCCUUUAUAAAAAGUCUUCUGUAAUUAUGUAGAACCUUCUAGAACCCCCCAAGGUGCUUUAUAAAACUCUCCUUCACACACGGAUGGUGAACAAGCUACAUCAUCACCACAGCUGCCCUGGGCUGUGCUGACAGCCGUACACAGGCACCGCCGGCCCUCUGACCACCAUCAGCAGGCAAGGAGGGUGAAAUGUUUUGCCCAAGGACACUACGGCAGCGACAGACUGAGUGGCGUGGAACCCGCACCCCUCCAGGUAUGUGGCAGGCACGUGUUGGUGAGAGGACAGUAAUGGACAAUGAAGAGCUGUAGGGACAAAUUUCACGCCACGCCACACAGACUUGGUUCCCAGACAGCGACAGGCCGCCCGUGUCCAUGUAGUCAGGCUAACGCAGGAUGGGCAACAAGCCGCCUUCAGCACAGCCUGGUCUGAGAGGGACCGUCACAGCUCCAAGGGUUACCCUAACCCGUCACAAUACCACUCCAGUCAUGUAGCUAAACCUGUUGUUGUCUGCUUCUCCAUUUGUGUUGUUUGGCAGGUGAUUCGUGCUGCAGCCCAGCGGCAGGUUGCUUUUAGCCCAGGCUGAGGCAUGAAGACGGCUGCAGCCAUGAGGGAAGGUUCGCAGCUGCUGCUGAAUCAGCACCAUUUACACAGAGAAAUGCAGACGAUGCUGCACUCCUGGUAAAACCACUCACCUGUCCAGCCCACAGAUCCCACUGAGCUGCAGCCAGCGUGCACCACCUGAGCCUGCAGGUGAACGGACUGCUGCUGCGCAGGUGAACGUAACAGAGGUGACCUGUGAGUCAUAGGAGCAUCAACAACGCGCUCAGGAGCAACUUCCGGCUCCGCCCACAUCGGUGUCACUAAACAAUCUAAAUCAACGUAAAACGAAAGGAGAGCCGGGCCUCCCAUCGCCCUCGCCCGGGGAGGGGGGACUCACCAGGGGUCAAACUCGUGGAUGAUGCUCUCGAAGCGGAUGACAGCGAAGAGCCUGGAGCUGAAUCCCGCCAGCCAGGCCAGGAACAGGAUGGUGAAGGACAGCAGGGACUGCCAUCCGGCCGGCUGCGACAGGCCGCCGGACAGACCUCCUGCCCCGGUACCGACUCUCUCCGUCUCCGCCGCGCUGCUGCGUCCGUUCCCCGAGACCGACGCUGCGGAGUUCAGCUGGGAUUUGUGUUUGUUUUCGGAAACCGGGUGAUGCUCCGCCAUAUUCCCAUACGUCACUCCCGUAGUGGCAGCUAGUGAUCCCCCCACCCCCCUGUCUUCUUCCCUCUGCCACGAUCCACGUCCCGGAAUUCCCAGAGCCACGUCUGUUUCCCAGCGAGUCCCGGAGCAGCUAAACGGAUGCAGACAGGAACAUCACCGCUCUGAAGCGACACACGCGGCUGCGGGAGCAGUUCCCCCUUCCUAGUAGCUGAAUGAGGAGGCGGGAGCUGCUGGCGGAGCAGCCUCUCACAGCGAGACAGGUACGACCAGGACAGGACCAAUCACAGCACACGGUACGUGACGGACAUGCGCUACGACCAAUCACAAAUCCGCAGCAACUUCAAGAGGGGAGGGGCACGAAGAGGGAACCGCAUGAGCGCUCGUGUCCGUGCCAGACAGUCUGGGAUCACGUGAUUACCUUUUUUUAUUCUUAUUUACAUUUGAAAUCAAAGUUUUUCUUGUUUUCAAUUGUAAUUAUGAUAUUUAGUGUUGGUAGCGCACUGCUUUCCCCCUGAGGCGCCGGAUGGUGGACCAGAAUCUCCUCGAAGCCGUACAGAAGUCUUGCUCCAUGGUCUCACCGACCUCCUCCCAUCUGGGUUCUUGCCUCGGCGACCACCCGAGCUGCGUUCCGCUUGGACUGCCGGUACCCGUCAGCUGCCUCUGGAGUCCCACAGGCCAAAAAGACCUGAUAGGACUCUUUCUUCAGCUUGACAGCAUCCCUAACCGCCAGUGUCCACCAGCGGGUUCGGGGGUUGCCACCAUGACAGGCACCAACGAUCCUUUGACCACAGCUCCGGUCGGCCGCCUCAACAAUGGAGGCACUGAACAGGGUCCAUUCAGACUCAAUGUCCCCCGCCUCCCCCGGAACAUUUUGGAAGUUCUGUGGAGGUGGGAAUUGAAGCUCCUUCUGACAGGAGACUCUGCCAGAUGUUCCCAGCAGACCCUCGCGAUACAUUUGGCCCUGCCUGGUUUGACCGACAUCCUCCCCACCAUCUGAGCCAACUCACCACCAGGUAGUGGUCAGUUGACAGCUCCGCCCCUCUCAUCACCCGAGUGUCCAAGACUUGCGGCCGCAGGUCAGAAGAAACAACAACAAAGUCGAUCAUCGAGCUGCGGCCUAAGGUAUCCUGGUGCCUAGAGCACAUACGGACACCUUUAUGGGGACGGUGUGCUACUGACCUCUACUCAGGACGUUGUGGAUCGUGGGCAGAAUACUUCGAAGACCUCCUCAAUCCCACCGACACGUCUUCCAGUGAGGAAGCAGAGUCUGGGGACUUUGGGUUGGCCUCUCAAAUCUCUGGUGCUGAGGUCACUGAGGUGGUUAAAAGCUCCUCUGUGGCAAGGCUCCAGGGGUGGAUGAGAUCCGCCCAGAGUUCCUUAAGGCUCUGGAUGUUGUGGGGUGGUGUUGGCUGACGCGGCUCUGCAAUAUCGCGUGGCCAUCGGGGGCAGUCCCACUGGACUGGCAGACCGGGGUGGUGGUCCCCUUAUUUAAAAAGGGGGACCGCAGGGUUUGUUCCAAGGGGGAUCACACUCCUGAGCCUUCCUGGUAAGGUCUAUUCAGGGGUUCUGGAGAGGAGGGUCCGUCGGAUUGUUGAACCUCAGAUUCAGGAGGAGCAAUGUGGUUUUCGUCCUGGCCGUGGAACACUGGACCAGCUCCAUACCAUUAGGGGGAUCCUGGAGGGUGCGUGGGAAUUUGCCCAACCAGUCUACAUGUGUUUUGUGGAUUUGGAGAAGGCGUUGGACCGUGUUCCUCGGGGGGCCCUGUGGGGGGUACUCCGGGAGUAUGGGGUACCAGGCCCUCUGAUACGGGUCGCUGUAUGACCGGUGUCAGAGCUUGGUGAAGAGAGAGCUGAGUCAGAAGGUGAAGCUCUCAAUUUACUGGUGGAUCUACGUUCCUACCCUCACCUAUGGUCAAGAGCUUUGAGUAGUGACCGAAAGAACGAGAUCGUGGACACAAGCGGCCGAAAUGAGUUUUCUCCGAAGAGUGGCUGGGCUCUCCCUUAGAGAUAGGGUGAGAAGCUCGGUCAUUUGGGAGGGGCUCGGAGUAGACCGGCUGCUUCUCCACAUCAAGAGGAGCCAGUUGAGGUGGCUCGGGCAUCUGGUCAGGAUGCCUCCUGGACGCCUCUCUGGUAAGGUUGUCCGGGCACAUCCAACCGGGAGCAGACCUAAAGGUAGACCCAGGAUACGCUGGAGGGACUAUUCCCAUCUGUACCUGGUCGGCCCGGAUAGCAUAACUUGCUUACAUAUCUUGGUGGCCUGCCUUUUUUCAGGGUGCAACAAGACUGUUUUUCAGCCCUCUCUCUGAGGUAGUCUGCUUCAGGGUGACCAGGGCCAACACACCCACUGCUGAGUGAUAAGCCGGCUUAUCAGUCAGCAAAUUCACACCUUCCAUUAGAGCAAGCCUCUGAUUGGUGGGUAGAAUCAGCCCACAUGGGCUUAAGGUAUGCUCAAUUCAUUAUCAUUCAUUAUCAUGCUGAUUACCUAGAAGCUGAAAAUGUCUCUGACUGCAUUCCUUGCAUACCCAAGCAAGGAUGUGUGGAAUCAACCGGGCCAGGCUGGGGCCGACUGGAGCUAUCCGGGCAGGGCCGACCAGGUACAGAUGAGAAUGGCCAUUUUGUCUCUCGCCUGGCCAGGGAACGCCUUGGGAUUCCCCCGGAGGAGCUGGCCCAAGUGGCUGGGGAGAGGGAAGUCUGGGCCUCUCGCCUUAUGGGCUCGACACACGGGAGGCGACAUCGCCUCUCCUCCAUUCAUUUUCAAUGAGACGUGCGCAACAAAGCGAUAAUCGCGGGUCUCCCUCCUACUAAGCGAAACGCGAAAAACGUGCGUGUGAAAUUUUGCACUCGUGCACGUGCCGUGCACAGACGACCCAGUGACGCGAUCCCAGAAAGUUGAAACAUUUUCAACUUUUCAUCGCUGUCGCUCGGACGAGGACCAAUCAACGGAGGUUUCCUUCACUGACCAAUGAGCGGACAGGAUGCUCCAUACAUCUCCGAGCAAACAUGGAGGAGAAGUUGAUUAUUAUUAUGUUUUAUAGUAAAAUCAGAAGUAAGAUUUCACAUAACUCUAGCAGCACCUUGUGAAACAUCAUAUCUACCGCUUUAUUAACUCUGAACCGCUUAAAUAACCUUAAUUCCCUCCAACCUGACACAGCCAAUCAAAACAACGGAAGUUUCGAUUUCGCCAUGGAACAGAACGCGUAGACGGCUUUGCCGCUGGCCGCUGCCGCGGAUCGCCUCCCGUGUGUCAGGUAAAAAAAGCGACAGCGACAAAUUUCGCUGAUCGCGGUCGUUUGUCGCCUCCCGUGUGUCGAGCCCAUUAGGCUACUGCCCCCGCGACCCGACUCCGGAUAAGCGGAUGAAAAUGGAUGGAUGAAUGGAUGAAUGGAUUAUGAUAUUUAUGAACCAUUUUAUGUUAUUAACAUUUUGUCGUUCUUGUGAAGCGCGUCGUGAUUUUUAUCUUGAGGUGUAUCGUUUCUUCUGCUUCUACCUAACUGCAAUUGCACAUUCAGCCACAAGAUGGCGACAUACACACAUUUUAUUCCCAAGCGUUUUGAAUCUUCUUUAUGCUGAAACAUAAACCCUUUGUGAAAAAUCCUUCACAAAGACAGUUUGUCAGGGAGAGCGUGUUACUGGUGUAGAAUAUUGUUUAUUCCCGCAACCGAAUGCCUCACAUUGACUCUUAUACCUCUUCUCAGUGGAGGCAAACUGCUCCAUCUUUGUCUCAUCUGACCAUGAAACUUUUGUCUGCAUGACAUUUGUCUUGUCCAUGUGGACAGAUGAGAUGGCAGGUGUCUUUUCUCUGCCUUGUCCUCUCAGUCCACAUUGAUGUAAAAUUGGUCUCACUGGACUAGAAGUCCUCCAGUGGCAGCAGCUAAUCAUCUCAUUGGCUUGGUUGAUCAUCUGCUUCACUAUUUAGCCGAGAGGAUCUCACUAACUGUGAUGGCUGGAACGCUCUCUAGAUGAACCAUGGGAUGACUGACGUUAGUUUCUCAGGUUCUUCCAUAGAAAGACAAAGUCCUCAUCUUCUUGUUGAUUUUUUCUGAGACAGAAAAGUUUAGAUGUUGUUGAAGAAAGUUCCCAGCUCCAGUAAAAAGGAGAAUCUUCUCAAACUAGUUGGUCUAUCUUUGUGCUCUCCAGUCAGAGUCCAGACCUGAAAACUACCGUUCACAGAUGCCUUCCUGCCAAUCUGGGCUUCAGCUGAUUUACAGCAAUGUGGAAGAAAUGUCAGCCUUUAGAUGUGUAGAGCUGGUGGACCCCCCCCUCUGCUCUACUGAUGCAGGGGGCUGGACACAAAUGCACGGCACCGUUUAGGUUUUUAUUUGUGUAGCGAGAGAAAUCCGUGGAGUGUGAAGGUCAUGACACGGUCCACAGCCGUCUUCCCUUUGCCCGAGAAGCUGUGCACUCUAAACCCAAACACAUGCGCUGUUUAUGACCUCACCAUCUGGGAAACCAUCACAACAAUCCUGUUUAUGGUCACGAGUCUGCUUCGGUAGACGGAACUCUCCAACUUUAAUAAACAACCAAAUUCUGUGUUACACAAGGAUUCCCUCACUUUACAGGUGAAAUACAACCAACGAGUGUUUUAUCUGAAAUAAGACUUUACAGUCAUGAUAAAUCUAAAUAACUUAUUGUUGGAUUGCAUGAUUUCAGAUCUUAAAGAACCACAAAUCUACUUGAUGACUUAAUGAUGAUUUUAUUAUCAGUCAUGCCACAUUUUAACAUCAGUAUAUUAACCGUGACAGUUCCAUCUUAUUUAGAUCCCAUAGUAAGAGAAAUGCUUUCUUUAGGUUUCUUGGGGCAGAUGUGAUGUCAUGGGACGUUGCUCAUUCCUCCUACAUUUCUCUGGGCUCUGAUUGGUCCAACACGGGCCCUGAAAAGAGGGAGUCACUUCGUCUUCUCUUGAGUUCCAGCCAAAGUGCUAAAUGCACAUCUUUCGGGAGAUGAAGCCAGAUCUUUCAGCAGGACCCUGUGUCAGGACUGAACAACUAUUGUUUGUUUUGACCUGCAACGACUUCAUCAGACGAACAACGACCCACCAGCAGAAGUACCGGGGGUAUCUCUUGACCAGCCGGGUGGGCUUAUAUGGACUACGACCUUUGAUGACCCAGAGGUCAAAACAAGUCGCCUUGUCGAGACGACUUUGCUGCAAGCUGGAUGUCUGAGAACCCUCAUCCCGCGGACACCGUAGCUCUGCACACGGGCGUCGGAUGAGUUAAAUGUAUUUGAAAACUAACCAAGCAUCAGUAAAUGCAGCCAGAUUAUUCUAAUAAUCCCAGAUAUCACAUUCUUUCCUAAGUCGCCUAAUUAGACUCUUAAUAACAUCUAAGUUUCAUUAAAGUUUGAUUAUUGUCUCAGCUGAUUUUCCCUUGAAUACUCAUUCAUCUACAGCUGUCUUGUAAAUUUGUUGUAGAAAUAAAGUAAUAAAUGGAUUUUUAUAAACUAUA